UAUAUCAAUUGGAAUAUAUACAAAAUGUUAGGACGUGGAAAGGUAAGCCAAAAAUAUCUACAUCUUCUCAUAAGAUGGAGUAUUAAUAUUCUUAUUAUGAAUCGUGGAUUAUUAAUUGCAGCACACGUUUUUUUAAAACAAGCAUCUAUAAUCGCCUAAUAUUUUGUAUUUAUAUUCCAAGAUUCCAAGAAAAAUCUUCAGCAUAGAAAUUAAAAGAAAAGAGAUAGUAGUAGUAUACAUAUGUGAGGACUAGAAAAUGACUUUUUUGAAUACGUAUAAAUUCUAUAUCUACACACAUCUUGAUUUUUGUCAAAACUCGGCGUUGUUUAACAGAAUCUUUGAUUUCUAAACUCACUCAAAUCACUUCUCCUUACUGAGUAGUAGUAGUAGUAUUUAAUAAAUCCACUGGAAAAUAACGAAAAUCGGAGAAAUCUGUAAGAUCUGAUGGGGAAAUGGUAUCGCUAAUCAAUCUGGAUUCCCGAUUUUCAACCAAAUCGUGGCUUCCGAAACGAAUCGGCCGGUUUCUGGCCGACGUAUCGGAUAAGAUUUUGCAGCUAGACGGUUUUGUUAAUCAGCUGAUAGACGAGAUGAAGAAGAUCGACGCCUUCAAACGCGAGCUACCUCUUUGCAUGCUUAUCAUCACCGACAGUGCAAUCCGUUCAUCCUUUUUCUCUGGUUUUAGGAAUUAUGAUAGUUCAGGAGGAGGUAGCAGUGUGUAAGAAAUUAAAAUCUGGAAGAGUUGAUUCCUAUUUGAUGAUAAAAAGAGUUGUGUGCAGUUAUGGAACUCCGAUGAUCAAAAUGCUGAUUACACUAGCGACAAAAACAAAGGUAAUAGGAGUAGUAGAGAUGGGGAGUAUUUAAUUUGAUAGUGCUAAUUAUUCAAGAUGCUUUAUCUGAGAGUGGGAAGAAGAACGGAUUUGUGCCUCUUCUCCCAGUAAUGAAGGACAUGGAUGAGUUGCCUCUUUCUCUUUGUACGCCUGGAAUCAAGAAUUCAAUCAAUCCAGCCUUACCAGAUCAAGAUCAAGCUCAUCUCCUAGGAAGCAACGGAGAUGCUUGUCGCCUGAUCUUUGUCAAUGCCCUGCAGCAUCUUGGAGGCCCGCAAGGUCUGAAACUUGCAAACUUAUCACUCCAUUCAAAUGUGCUGAAUUACUGAUGAGAAAAAAAAUAUCAAGUGUUUGUGAGUUUUGGUGCAAUCAAUGUUUGUGGCUCUGCAUUUAUCAGGACAAAGUUGCUAAACUCAGCCUUACAAAUUUGUUUCCUUUGAAUAGCCUCCUUGUAAUUGUCGCUCUAUGCUUUACAGCUGCUACUCCCAAGCAGAUCAGAGAACAUAUGCAAGUAGAUGGUCUAACCAAUGACCAAGUGAAGAGUCAUUUACAGGUUUUGUUUUUAUCUCUCAUUGUAAGACAAAAUUGAUGCUACUGCUUCUUGACUUCCCUUUCAGAAGUAUCGGCUGCACAUGAGAAAAAUCCCCCCAAUCUGUUGGUCCGAGAACAAUUUGGCGAAUCCUUGGAGCAUAGCAAUGGCUCCCCCGAAGGCCCUCUUCAUUUAUCGAGUGACACCCUGGACGAAGAAUGAUCAGCAUACUACUCUUACUCAUAUCAUGGGUGCAAUAGUGUAUAAAUGGCCACCAUGAGUUUUGCAGAUAUAGUACAUGGCAGGGAUUUGAUCUUACUAAAAUACACAAAAUACGAAUCGAAUAUCAUGAGGCACAGUUGUAUCAAAUUUUUGCAGCAUUAGGUUACCCCAUCGGCUUUUCUGAAUACAGAAUUUUCAAUAAUUUGAUCUUUA